GACUAACGCUGGCGGCACGCCUAACACAUGCAAGUCGCACGAGAAACUUCGUAGCAAUACGGGGCGGUAAAGUGGCGAACGGGUGAGUAAUGCAUGGGUGACCUGUCCUCAAGAUGGGAAUAACCUCGCGAAAGCGGGGCUAAUACCCAAUGCCAUUUCAGUCUUACGGGAUUGAGAUGAAAGAUAGCUGUUACAGGCUUUCACUUGAAGAGGGGCCCAUGUCCCAUCAGCUUGUUGGUAGGGUAAUGGCCUACCAAGGCUACGACGGGUAGCUGGUCUGAGAGGACGACCAGCCACACUGGCACUGAGACACGGGCCAGACUCCUACGGGAGGCAGCAGUGAGGAAUCUUGCGCAAUGGACGAAAGUCUGACGCAGCGAUGCCGCGUGGGGGAUGAAGGCCUUCGGGUCGUAAACCCCUUUUGGUGGGAAAGAAACACCCGGAUGUUAACAGCGUCCGGGCUUGACGGUACCCACAGAAAAAGCCACGGCUAACUCUGUGCCAGCAGCCGCAGUAAAAC
rnacentral:rRNA from 1 species